UCCUCAGUAGUUCAGUUGGUAGAACACCGGACUGUUAAUCCGUAUGUCGCUGGUUCGAGUCCAGCCUGAGGAGCCA
rnacentral:tRNA from 1 species